rnacentral:pre_miRNA from 1 species
UCCACACUCAUGUGUGUAGGACUCAAAAAGACCACUAUUAAAUUUGACACAGAUCUCUAAAAAAGUUAUCACAUAAGUGUGAGACUUGACUUUUCUAGAGAUCUGUGCUAAAUUUAAUAGUGAUCAUUUGGGGUCCUACACACAUAGGUGUGGG